AAGGUGUUAGCUCAAUUGGAAGAGUAUUCCCCACCACGGGGAAAGGAUGCAGGUUCGAGUCCAGGCACACCUUU
rnacentral:tRNA from 1 species